CCUCCGCCUCCCAGGUCAAGCCUCAGCCUCCCAAGUAUCUGGGAUUACAGGCACCCGCCAUGGCUAAUUUUUGUAUUUUUAGUAGAGAUGGGGUUUCACUAUAUUGGCCAAGCUGGUCUUGAACUCCUGACCUCAUGGUCCAUCUGCCUCGGCCUCUCAAAGUGCUGGGAUUACAGGCAUGAGCCACUGUGUCCGGCGACAUUAUUUCUUAUAAAGAUAAAAUUCCCUGUAAUAACAAUACUUUCCAAAGCAUUUCCACAUACAUUAUUGAAUUCAGUCCUCAAGAAUAAAAGUAAGUAGAUAUAUUACCUGUAUUUUUAAAAUGAGCAAACUGACAAUAAAAAGGUUAAAUUCUACUCCAAAAUUAACAGAUGAGUAGGAGAAAGACCUGAUAUUUGAACCAAAGCCUUAAUACUUUAAGGUCAGGAUUCCUUUAGUUGAAAUGUACAUUCUCUAACAUACUGUCUUUUUGACAGUCUCCACGAUUUUUAGCUAUGCAAAGAUAGAAAGUGCUUUCUUUAUUCUGUAACUCAAUCAAUCUAUCUAUUAACAGAUAUUGUGCAUCAGGGCUGACACGUGGAAGAUACAGGGAAAUCUCAGAGGUGAUCUCUACCUUCAAAGGAGUCAAGUCUCAAACAAAGAAAAAUAUAAUGCAUACUUAAGGAAAAUAAUAAGAAGCAAAAUAUCAAUGAUGAUUGUAAUAAUUAAGGGAGGCUGGGGGAGUAGAUUGGAGUUGAUAAGUAGUUUGUGAAAAAGCUUCAAAGGAAGGAUAGAGUGGAUAUGGAUAUGUAUAGGAGGGGGUAGGUGAUGUCUGCAGUCAAGUGGGCUUGUAGAAUGUCAUACACUUCUAGAAUAUCAGUCUGAAGGAUAAAAGGGGUUGUGUCCUGGGUGGAGACUGUCCAGUAAGUUCCAGACCCACAUAAACUGAAUUUUGAGAUAAGGAUACAGUAACAGUAAGGAUCUCAGGGACUUGAACAGGGCAAACCAAAGAAGUGACCACUGCCCACUGUGCAAUGGCUUUGUAGGCACCAAGAAUAACCCAAGUGUAAAUGUUCAGUCUACAGCUUGGUCAAUAUCCUGCCAGUGGCUGCUGGCUCUGAACCCACUGAGAUAGUGUGUUUUCUCAAGCUUGGCUCAAAAAUGCAGAUACUCCUUGACAUACAAUGGGGUUACAAUCCAACAAACUGGUCAUAAACUGAAAAAUUCUAAGCUAAAUCAUGGAAGGUCAGGGACCAUCUGUACAGGUUAGAUGAGAUUGUCACUCAGUGUCAAAAGUGGAACAGGGUGCAGAAGUCAGACUGUGGCUAAUAGAUGAAGAACUAAAAAGUUAAGGACAACAACAGUCAGUGAUGGUGGAAAAUGCAUAUAACUCCAUUGAGAGGGAACUGGGAACCUACAAUAAAUAUGGCACCAUUAAUUUAGAAAGCAGAAUGUGUGGAUAACUUCCAUGUCAUCAGAAGAUCUCUAUCUUGCAAUAUAGUUGAUGAAAGGGCUGUAAUGCGUAAGAAUCAACAAUAAUUACUAGAAUUGCAAUAUCAACAGUAUUAUUAACAACACAUAACAGCUAAUAUAUAUGGAGUAUUGACUCUGUGAAGGACUUGGCUAAGCACGGCACACACAGUCUUCCAGUUAACUGGCAAUGAUACUGAAUGACAUGCACACUGUCCACUCACUCUAUACAUGUGAAAACUGAGUCUGUGACUUUCCCAAAGACUCUUCACUAAGGAGUAGCAAACUCAGUGUUCUUACCCAACUCUGUCUGAUGCAGAAACCAAGUUAUAACCAUUAUGCACUAAAGGUGUCCUUUGCAUGAAAGAUUAACUUGUAGAUACCAAAUUAUUCAGGGAGAAGAAUUCCACCAUGCAUUUAUGAAAUAAGCAAAUAGCCAUGUAUGGUCCAAUGAGGAACACCAGGUCAGAAAAAUCCAGAGAACAAAUGAGAAUAUGUCCAAUGCCCUUUUGCUAAAGUUUGUAUUUCUCUAGGUUAAGGAGAAAGAACCCCUUCUUGAAACCCUGCCUUGUGUCCUAAUGUCAUGAGUCUUCUCAGCCCCCUUUGGGGAUGUCCUCAAGAUCAUGGAGGGAAUUCUUCUCCCAUCUUGUGGUUGAAUAUGCUGAGACAGAGGAUAUUGUCCUACUUUCCACCUCAUUCAAGAAGAAGAAAAUGCUAAGUAUGAAUUUCCAGUUUUCUCCAGUCCCUUUCCUGUUGCUAAAUGAAGAUCAUUCCAUCAUUGUGUAUCAAAUGCAGCAUUUGUGAAAAUACCUCCCGAUCAUCUUUCACAGGAAUUCUUUCCAAGUGAGAAAGCCACCAUAAAAGAAGAAGGCCACCAUUGUAUUUAUGAACUAUGCCCUGAUAUAUUUCAGGAGGCUGGUGAACACUCAUUGUAACAUUUAAGACUUUGUACAAUUUAAUCACAUUCAGGAGUAAUGAAUGAAGUUAAGACUGACAUAAAGCCCAGUAUUCUCAGCAGGAUGGCAUGUGGCAAAUUCACAGCAAUAAAAUAACAACAUACAUUGAAACGUGUGUGUGUGUGUGUGUGUGUGCAGGGGUGUUACUAGCAUCUAAUAAGUAGAGGCCAGGGAGGCUGCCAAGUAUCUUAUGAUGUAUGGGACAGCACCCACAACAAAUAGUUAUCCAGCCAAAAAUGUCGCUAGUGCCAAGGCAGGGAAACUCUCAUCUAACCUCAUAUCACAAAGCAUCAUGGUGGUUUUCCCUACUCAGAGAGGCCCCUAUUCUUUGGUACUUCAAAAGGACACCACAAGAUGUAUGCUAUUUAGGCAACAAUCAUUUAUAAACACAGAAUGAAAAGGACACUUGUGAGUCCCCAACUGCAAUUUGAACUCCAUUAUUCAAUUCAAAAUCCAUAAUAUUAAUACAACAUCAUACAAGUGUGAUUGCAAAACAAAAUUCCAAAACCAUAAUUCAUCAUGCCACAAGUAUCUGAUUAGCUACUUGGUAUAAGCCAUUCUCCAUUAUAUAUCCCCAAAUUAUCUAAUUGUAUUAAAGACAUAAUUCUGACAUUUCCAUCCUGUUGUGUAAAAUCUCUAAGGAUAGACUUAAAAUGAUUUUCCCUUCUGAUUUACUCAAAAUAAAUAAAUCACUAACCUCCACAUCCAGCUCUUGUAUCCUUUUUUCCACCCCACCUCCUGUCCCCCCAGUCCUGAGCUACAAUCAACUUAGCACUUCAUUUUCACAUUUUUUUCCCAUUAGAUUGAAAAUAUCUCAUGGGAUGGCAUCAACUUUAACUUCAAAAUAUGGGAAAACUUGGAGUUAGAAAACCUGAAUCUACUUUUAUUUUCUACUGGUUGUGAUUAAGCAGGUUACUUAAUCUCACUGAGUCCCAUUUUGCUUGAAUACAAAAUGACCCAGCUCCAAGAACCACUCUGAUGACCUCAAAGAGUUGCUGUGCAGAUUGAAUUUAAAGCAUGUACCUUGAGGUCUCUGAAAAUUUUGAGUUACCAGACAUAAAAUAUACAAAAGUAACAACAGUGUCCUUGUGGUAGGUAGCACCUACAAUGGCCCCAGUAAUCUACCUACCUCAGUGCUACUCACACUCUUGUGCCAUUUCCUCCCUUCGAGGGCCAGCUGUACAUGUUAAUUAAUGUCUAACAAAUAGAAUAUGACAGAGGUGGUGGGAAGUCAUUUUUAAGAUGAGGCUCUAGAGAAAAAGUGGCUUUUAUCUUGGGUGCUGUGUUCUGCUCUCUCUUGGGUCACUUGCUCUGGAAGGAAACAGUUGCCAUGCUGUGAAUCAACCUUGUGGAGAGGUCCACGUAAGUGCCCUUGAGGUCUUCUAGCAGCUUUGUGAGUGGGCUUAGAAGAGCAUCCUCCAAAGGUGUAGCCCCAGCCAACACCUUUGCUUGCAAACUCUUAAGAGACCCUAAACCAGAAGCACCCAGCUAAUCUGCUCCCAGAUUCCUAACCCACUAAGACAUCACAAAUGUUUAAUGCUUCCAGACACUAAGUUUGGGAAUUGUUGCUGGAAUGAGCUCAAAGUCUUAACAUCCUUCCUCAGCUUGGUGAUAACUUACGAUUGUUUUCACUGGGUUUCUCCACCCAUGGCUUAGUUGUCUCCUGUUUUCAUUUCUUCAGACUAGUCCUAGCCCACAGGCUGCUCACUUUGUCCUGGAGUGUCAUCGAAGAGAAGUGUGUGUCACUGACUCUGUCAAAGCAACCAAACUUUGGGGAAGACAUACCUCAGGAAAGGUUGCUGAGAACUUGAAAUUUCAGACCUUCAUUCAGAAUUCUCUUAGUUCGUCAUUAUCUUCGUGCUCUGCUACUAAUGAAAAAAGUGCAAAAUGAAGAACUUGAGAGAAAAGUGAAGCAUUCACUUAACUCUUUCAUAUUCAAAUAUUAACAAAUCUCUUUAAAAUAGAUCCCUAUGUAAUUCCACGAACAAUGUUAAUUUAGGAAAAUUACAUUUAAAACAGUGGACUACCUUUGGUUUAUUUUCUCUCUUUUACUAUGUUUGAUAAUAAUACUGUUUAUUGAUAUGUUUAGCUACAUACCUUUAUUUCUGCACAUUAUAUUUCAAUAUAUUUGGCCUUUUUGUUUGUAUGAAGUAUAUGCAUGUGUGUAAGGCACAGCUUCUGCAUGCCUUUACGUGAACAUUACUAAUAAUUCUUGUGAGCCAAUUCAUUCUACUAUGUGCUCUUCUCUCUAUUCCUCAGUUGCUAAAGUCAACCCAUGGGUUAGGCUUUAUUUUAAGUAGAUUCAUGCCUGUGUCUUUGGAAAUGCCAUAAAUUGUCAGCUCUCAUAGGCUUAGUGCACUAUAUGAAGAAUUUAAAAAUUCCUGGCUGGGCGCGGUGGCUCAUGCCUGUAAUCCCAGCACUUUGGAAGGCCGAGGGAGGCAGAUCACGAGGUCAGGAGAUCAAGACCAUCCUGGCUAAUACGGUGAAACCCCGUCUCUACUAAAAACAAUACAAAAGAAAAAUUAGCUGGGCAUGGUGGCAG
rnacentral:lncRNA from 10 species